ensembl:misc_RNA
CUUCCAAACUGCCUCACCAGGACAUUCUCAGAAAUAGUGAUUGAUGCUGGCACUCUGGUGAAUUUGCUGAGCAGGAAGGCUCAGUAUAAGUAUCAGGCAGAGCCAUGUGUGGUGAUAUACACUUGUAAUCCCAGCAACUCCAGAGGCUGAAG